rnacentral:rRNA from 1 species
UACGGAGGGUGCGAGCGUUGUCCGGAAUCAUUGGGCGUAAAGGGCGCGUAGGUGGCGGGACAAGCGUGCGGUGAAAGCUCGGGGCUCAACCCCGGGUCGGCCGUGCGAACUGUUUUGCUUGAGCACUGUAGAGGCAGGCGGAAUUCCGGGUGUAGCGGUGGAAUGCGUAGAGAUCCGGAAGAACACCGGUGGCGAAGGCGGUUCUCUGGGCAUUACCUGACGCUGAGGAGCGAAAGUGUGGGGAGCGAACAGG